rnacentral:rRNA from 1 species
CACGUAGGGGACGAGCGUUGUCCGGAUUCAUUGGGCGUAAAGCGCGCGUAGGCGGCUCGGAAAGUCGGUCGUGAAAUGCCGGGGCUCAACCCCGGGACUGCGUCCGAUACUUCCGGGCUGGAGGUAGGUAGGGGAGAUCGGAAUUCCUGGUGUAGCGGUGAAAUGCGCAGAUAUCAGGAGGAACACCGGUGGCGAAGGCGGCAUCCUGGACCGGCAUUGACGCUGAGGCGCGAAAGCUAGGGGAGCAAACGGG